rnacentral:rRNA from 1 species
CACGCAGGCGGUCUGUCAAGUCGGAUGUGAAAUCCCCGGGCUCAACCUGGGAACUGCAUUCGAAACUGGCAGGCUAGAGUCUUGUAGAGGGGGGUAGAAUUCCAGGUGUAGCGGUGAAAUGCGUAGAGAUCUGGAGGAAUACCGGUGGCGAAGGCGGGUCUCUGGGCCGUUACUGACGCUGAGGAGCGAAAGCAUGGGGACGAACA